AUUGAACGCUGGCGGCAUGCUUUACACAUGCAAGUCGAACGGUAACGCGGGGUCAACCCUGGCGACGAGUGGCGGACGGGUGAGUAAUACAUAGGAACGUACCCAGUAAUGGGGGACAACUCCGAGAAAUCGGAGCUAAUACCGCAUAUGCUCUACGGAGGAAAGUGGGGGACCGCAAGGCCUCACGUUAUUGGAGCGGCCUAUGUCUGAUUAGCUUGUUGGUGGGGUAAAGGCCUACCAAGGCGAUGAUCAGUAGCUGGUCUGAGAGGAUGAUCAGCCACACUGGGACUGAGACACGGCCCAGACUCCUACGGGAGGCAGCAGUGGGGAAUUUUGGACAAUGGGGGCAACCCUGAUCCAGCCAUGCCGCGUGAGUGAAGAAGGCC
rnacentral:rRNA from 1 species